UCAUGUGAGAUUACUCCCUGAAUUUAAGCAUAUUAAUGAGGGAAGGAAAAGAAAUUAACUAAGAUUCCUUUAGUAGCGGCGAGCGAAACAGGAUAAGCCCAGCACUAAGCUCUCCGGUCGUCCUGACUGGUAGAGGAUGCAGUGUAUGGAAAGUCUAUUAUCUUAUGCAACGAUAAUAUGUUCAAGUCCAUCUUGAAUGGGGCCAUUAAACCCAUAGAGGGUGCCAGGCCCGUAGCAGCUAUUAUCAGUAUAAGAAGGCUUUUCCAAAGAGUCGUGUUGCUUGAUAGUGCAGCACUAAGUUGGUGGUAAACUCCAUCUAAGGCUAAAUAUGACCACAAGACCGAUAGCGAACAAGUACCGUGAGGGAAAGUUGAAAAGCACUCUGAAUAGAGAGUUAAAUAGUACGUGAAACCGCUUAGGGGUUAAGCCUGAUGAACCCGAAUAUUCGAAAUGAGAAAUUCAUUAUUUUCUAGUAGU
rnacentral:rRNA from 1 species